rnacentral:rRNA from 1 species
AGAGUUUGAUUAUGGCUCAGGAUGAACGCUAGCGAUAGGCCUAACACAUGCAAGUCGAGGGGCAGCACAUGAAGUAGCAAUACGGAUGGUGGCGACCGGCGCACGGGUGAGUAACGCGUAUGCAACCUGCCUACAACGGGGGAAUAACCCGUUGAAAGACGGACUAAUACCCCAUAACACAGGGAUCCCGCAUGGGAAUAUUUGUUAAAGAUUUAUCGGUUGUAGAUGGGCAUGCGUUCCAUUAGCUUGUUGGUGAGGUAACGGCUCACCAAGGCAACGAUGGAUAGGGGAACUGAGAGGUUUAUCCCCCACACUGGUACUGAGACACGGACCAGACUCCUACGGGAGGCAGCAGUGAGGAAUAUUGGUCAAUGGACGCAAGUCUGAACCAGCCACGUCGCGUGAAGGAAGACGGCCCUACGGGUUGUAAACUUCUUUUGUAAGGGAAUAAAGUGUAGUACGUGUACUAUUUUGCAUGUACCUUACGAAUAAGGAUCGGCUAACUCCGUGCCAGCAGCCGCGGUAAUACGGAGGAUCCGAGCGUUAUCCGGAUUUAUUGGGUUUAAAGGGUGCGCAGGCGGGAGAUUAAGUCGGCGGUGAAAUUUUGCAGCUCAACUGUAAAAGUGCCUUCGAAACUGGUUUCCUUGAGUGUGGAUGAAGUAGGCGGAAUUUGUGGUGUAGCGGUGAAAUGCAUAGAUAUCACGAGGAACUCCGAUUGCGCAGGCAGCUUACUAAACCAUAACUGACGCUCAGGCACGAAAGGCGUGGGGAUCAAACAGGAUUAGAUACCCUGGUAGUC